AAUUUUGGACAUUGGGGGAAACCCUUAUCCAGCCAUCCCGCGUGUAUGAUGAAGGCCUNCGGGUUNUNAAGAACUUUUGGCAGCGNAGAAAAGGUACCUCCUAAUACGAGGUACUGCUGACGGUAUCUUCAGAAUAAGCACCGGCUAACUACGUGCCAGCAGCCGCGGUAAUACGUAGGGUGCAAGCGUUAAUCGGAAUUACUGGGCGUAAAGAGUGUGUAGGCGGUUCGGAAAGAAAGAUGUGAAUUCCCAGGGCUCAACCUUGGAACUGCAUUUUUAACUGCCGAGCUAGAGUAUGUCAGAGGGGGGUAGAAUUCCACGUGUAGCAGUGAAAUGCGUAGAUAUGUGGAGGAAUACCGAUGGCGAAGGCAGCCCCCUGGGAUAAUACUGACGCUCAGACACGAAAGCGUGGGGAGCAAACAG
rnacentral:rRNA from 1 species